GAUGAACGCUAGCUACAGGCUUAACACAUGCAAGUCGAGGGGCAGCAUGGUCUUAGCUUGCUAAGGCCGAUGGCGACCGGCGCACGGGUGAGUAACACGUAUCCAACCUGCCGUCUACUCUUGGACAGCCUUCUGAAAGGAAGAUUAAUACAAGAUGGCAUCAUGAGUCCGCAUGUUCACAUGAUUAAAGGUAUUCCGGUAGACGAUGGGGAUGCGUUCCAUUAGAUAGUAGGCGGGGUAACGGCCCACCUAGUCUUCGAUGGAUAGGGGUUCUGAGAGGAAGGUCCCCCACAUGGGAACUGAGACACGGUCCAAACUCCUACGGGAGGCAGCAGUGAGGAAUAUUGGUCAAUGGGCGCAGGCCUGAACCAGCCAAGUAGCGUGAAGGAUGACUGCACUAUGGGUUGUAAACUUCUUUUAUAAAGGAAUAAAGUCGGGUAUGUAUACCCGUUUGCAUGUACUUUAUGAAUAAGGAUCGGCUAACUCCGUG
rnacentral:rRNA from 1 species